UCUCUCUCGCUCUCUCUCCAUCUCAGUCUCUGGCUCAGAGCAGUUCGUUCGGCAGAGCGGUAUAACAGAGUAGAGUGUGCGUUUGCUGUGCCGUGUGUGUGUGUAUGUGUGUGUCCAGAGCAUCGUUCGCAGUGAGAAAACGGAGAGAGAGAGAGACAGAUAGAGAGGAAAAGAAAGAGAGAGACAUCCAGAGGCAGGACUGAGCGGACUGAGAGAAAGCAACACUCCUCACCACCGCAGUUGGAUAGACAGAGAGAUGCUAGCAGUCUAACAGAAGCUCCUCACAUUACUUCGACAUCCCGGCCACAGACGACCGCAGCUCCAACAGGCUGACACUUAACUGAAGACACAUCCAAAGGUCUCACCCACUUUGCCAACAUCCUAACG